GACGAACGCUGGCGGCGUGCCUAAUACAUGCAAGUCGAGCGGAUCUUCAUUAGCUUGCUUUUGAAGAUCAGCGGCGGACGGGUGAGUAACACGUGGGCAACCUGCCUGUAAGACUGGGAUAACUUCGGGAAACCGGAGCUAAUACCGGAUAAUCCUUUUCCUCUCAUGAGGAAAAGCUGAAAGACGGUUUCGGCUGUCACUUACAGAUGGGCCCGCGGCGCAUUAGCUAGUUGGUGAGGUAACGGCUCACCAAGGCGACGAUGCGUAGCCGACCGGAGAGGGUUAUCGGCCACACUGGGACUGAGACACGGCCCAGCCUCCUACGGGAGGCAGCAGUAGGGAAUCUUCCGCAAUGGACGAAAGUCUGACGGAGCAACGCCGCGUGAGCGAUGAAGGCCUUCGGGUCGUAAAGCUCUGUUGUCAGGGAAGAACAAGUAUCGGAGUAACUGCCGGUACCUUGACGGUACCUGACCAGAAAGCCACGGCUAACUACGUGCCAGCCGCCGCCGUAACAC
rnacentral:rRNA from 1 species